AAUCCAAUGAAUAAACACACCUCAAGACACGUUUUUCCCUUUAGUGGUUUUUAUAUAGGAAGCAUUUUAACGGUGGCAAGGUUCCCACCUCCAGAGCCAGACUACACGGUAUCGUGUUGUCCCGGCUUCAGCAUGGCCAGGUAGUGUCCCUGAGAAGGCAAACCAGGAAGAGGCAUGCCCUCGAGGGUCAUCGUGGGGCUUUCAUGAGCUCACAUUUGAGAAGAGUCAGAGCCAGGCUUAGAUGUUGCGUGUCUUCUUGUGUUGGUUAGAAUCACUGACGUUUUUUGGUAGAAUUUCUUUUUGCUACUGUGCCUCUUACUUAGAUCAGUUGACUGUUCAUGUUCUUUAAUAAAUGAGCUGAAACAGCAACAUCCAAAUGAAACAAAAAGAAUUUUUAAAAAAUGGAAAGGAGGGGAAAGCUGUGUCGUAAGGCAACUUUCUUAAAUGUUCUUUGUUUCAUUUUUAUUUGCUGCUGUGAAAAAUGAGGAGAAUGGCACCUACCCUUCUGUGGAGAUUAAGCUGAGCGACUUAAUUAUGCUGCGCGUUUGCGUUUCCACACUCAGAGAAGUGGGUGUGAAAUGAGGAGGAUUCCAUCUCCAUGACUACUCUUUAAGUUAAGAGCUUUGCUGGUAGGAGAAUCAAGGAUGUGUGGCUAGAAGGCAAAGAUGAAUGACCACUACAUCUCCAUCUCCUCCCACCCCGCUGCCACUAGUUAUUACCGAAGAUGGAGAGCUUGGCUAAGAAGAGGCAUUUCCUGGUCCCUGCCCCGCUGAGGGCUUCUUUGGGCCUGACUUUCUGACUCUAGCCCGCUGCCAAUGAUGUGUGGCUUGCAUUCAAUUUGUUCAGACUCUCGGUGAUUUUAAUUAACCGAUUGUCGUUCCAAGAACCAACAUCAAAUACUCCUGUGAUCUUUCACGGUGAAGCAGAAACCGCUGGGUAGAGAGGACAGGAAAUAGCCCUGCCCCCAACUCCUGAUGGCUAUGCUGAGCCAGGGCCAGAAACACCCCAUAAACCGCGGGGUAGCCAUUUAUUAGAAAUAAUGUCAUUGAAAUGGAAGUUGCCGCGGUACAGUGGCCUCCAGCUGAGCCCAGACUACUGGGGAGAAGAGGGAAAUUGCUGUCCAGCUCUUCCCUGAUUACAAGUCACUUUGACGGUCACGAGGCACAACAAAUAAGGGGGUGACUGGCUUACAAAGAUGGUUCCAGUAAGGUUGCUUUUUUAACCUGGUUGGGUGAAUGUUGCAGAAAUAUUUGGGUCAGAGAAGUAAGUCAGAAGAUGAAGCAAAAUGACUUCAUCUCUGACAGACACAUACAACAGUAGAAGAAACAGGCGACAGGAAAAGAUUGCGUCAUCGAGAUUCCAAAUCCUUGGUUACUGCAAGCAAACACACCAGCAAACCCGGAGAGAAAUUCUGCCUGAGAUCUUGGCUUCCCUGCCAAGGGAAAAGUGUGGGCUCACUGCAGUAGACAGCUUAUAGUUCUUUUUGCCUGAUGUCAUCUUAGGGAGCUGGGCAGUUGGGCAUUCCAAUCCCUGGGAUAUGGAUUUGGAUGGAACCAGGUAUAUGGUUUUGUUUCUAAGCUGUUCUGGAAGUCCUGUCACUCAACCUAUCAGUCUCUGGUCUGCAGACUAUGGAUUUCCUCAUUAGAAGUCAUGUUGCCCCCCUGCCCCCCGCCAUCCUCAGAUAGAGGUAAACUGUGAAAUUGCACACUCAGAUGGAGUAGUGUGUGGGGUCCAGUGCUCUUAAGCCUGUGAAACUCUGCUCUUCCCCCACCCACAUGAACUUAAGCAAGUGGAAGAACUUCAGAUUGGACACUCUUAGAGCAAAUAACAAUAUAACCCAUCUUAGUGACUUUUCUAGUGCUUUGAUGAGACACCACGGCCAAGGUAACUUAUAGUAGGAAGAGUUUAUGUGGGGCUCAUGGUUUCAUUAGAACCUAUGGCCAUCAUGGAAGGAAGCAUGGCAACAGGCAGGCAGGUGUGGCACUACACAGCUGAAAGCUCACAUAGGAUCUGAGAGAGAGAGAGAGAGAGAGAGAGAGAGAGAGAGAGAGAGAGAGAGAGAGACUGGGAAUAGCAGGAGUCUUUUGAAACCUCAAAGCCUGCCCCUAGUGAGACUCCUCCUCUGACCAGACCACACCUCCUGAUACUUCCCAAACAGUUUCAUCAACCGGGAGCCAAUGGGGGCCAUUCUCACUCUAACCACCACCCAUUUUAUUCUUUGCAGUUACCACCCAAUGAGCCCCCCAGAACAUAGCAGUGGACACAGUAGAUGUACAUUCCCACACAUACUGGCUGAGGGUCAGGAGUUUAGGGGGUUCCAAAUGACAACCUCUCAUAUGAUGGCUUGGGUCUGGAGGCACCCAAGGCUCUGCUGGGGCUCACAGGCCUGCUUCUAAGACAACGCAUUCACAGGACUAUGAACACGAGUCCCUGAUCUUUAUCUCAUGGUUCUCUCCGUGGGUCAUUUGAAUGACCUCCUGGCAUGGCAACCAGAUUCUUCCAAUGACUUCUGGACAUAGCAGCUACGUCUUCCAGACAACUCCUACUGGUGUGCACCACCAUAAAUGGCGGCUCCAUCCUUUGACUGACUACCUCAUCCCUGCUCGGCACACUUGCCUCCCUUUGCCUGAGCGGCUUCUGUUGCGAAACAAGGCUCUCUGGCCUAAGAACCUCCGCGUCUGGGUGAUGGAAUCCACCUGCCAGCAAAUGAUUUCAGCGUCCUAGAUCAUGGUGAGUUUCUGAUUGAUUUAACUUUAUCGAAACAAUUAAAAGGCUUUCUCAGCAAAAAGAGAACAAUAAAGAUCUUAUGAUCCAACAAUGUGUGGUGGACAGGGGCCAUCAGAGGAGGCAGCUCCUCUGCCCCCAUGUUUUCACUGUGACCUGCAUGCUGCCAGGUUAGUUCCCCAAUGGGGAAGUAGGGGCAAAAAUAGAAGGAAGAAAAAAAAAGUACACACAAGAGAAAACUCAAACGUGAGAAGAUACUGUUCCCGGUGGCUGGUGGCUGGACAGUGUAUUUCCAGGUUCUUGGUAUUUUGUUCAAGGGACUGAAAUAAAAGCGUGCACAGUCUGCAAAGUAGCAAAGAAACUGUACAAAAGCCAAGCGGUAGCGCUGACCAGAAACACACCAUUAAAAGUGACACUGGGCCACAGGAAGGACAGUACUCGAGGACCCUGAGUUACUGCCUGUGGCUUGUUUAUGGU